UACGUAGGGUGCAAGCGUUGUCCGGAAUUAUUGGGCGUAAAGAGCUCGUAGGCGGUUUGUUGCGUCGGCUGUGAAAUCCCGAGGCUCAACCUCGGGUCUGCAGUCGAUACGAGCAAACUAGAGUGUUGCAGGGGAGACUGGAAUUCCUGGUGUAGCGGUGAAAUGCGCAGAUAUCAGGAGGAACACCAGUGGCGAAGGCGGCUAUCUGGACGGUUUCUGACGCUAAGACGCGAAAGCGUGGGGAGCAAACAGG
rnacentral:rRNA from 1 species